GGACCAAGGAGUCUAGCAUGUGCGCGAGUCAUUGGGACUCGAACGAAACCUAAAGGCGUAAUGAAAGUGAAGGUUCGCCUCGCGCGAACCGAGGGAGGAUGGUCGAUCGUUCGAGGUCGUCCCGCACUCCCUGGGCGUCUCGUUCUCAUCGCGAGAAGAGGCGCACCAAGAGCGUACACGCUGGGACCCGAAAGAUGGUGAACUAUGCCUGGUCAGGACGAAGUCAGGGGAAACCCUGAUGGAGGUCCGUAGCGAUUCUGACGUGCAAAUCGAUCGUCGGAACUGGGUAUAGGGGCGAAAGACUAAUCGAACCAUCUAGUAGCUGGUUCCCUCCGAAGUUUCCCUCAGGAUAGCUGGCGCUCGCUUCUCGCGAGUCUCAUUCGGUAAAGCGAAUGAUUAGAGGCAUUGGGGUCGAAACGGCCUCAACCUAUUCUCAAACUUUAAAUGGGUGAGAUCUCCGGCUUGCUUGAACUGUGAAGCCGCGAGAUAUCGGAUCAGAGUGCCAAGUGGGCCACUUUUGGUAAGCAGAACUGGCGCUGUGGGAUGAACCAAACGCCGAGUUAAAGCGCCUAAAUCGACGCUUAUGGGAUACCAUGAAAGGCGUUGGUAACUUAAGACAGCAGGACGGUGGCCAUGGAAGUCGGA
rnacentral:rRNA from 1 species